rnacentral:tRNA from 3 species
CCCGCGGUAGCUCAGCGGCAGAGCGCCCGGCUGUAGACCGGGUGGUCGGGGGUUCAAGUCCCCCCCGCGGGACCA